rnacentral:rRNA from 1 species
AGCUUGCUCUCGGGUGACGAGCGGCGGACGGGUGAGUAAUGUCUGGGAAACUGCCUGAUGGAGGGGGAUAACUACUGGAAACGGUAGCUAAUACCGCAUAAUGUCGCAAGACCAAAGUGGGGGACCUUCGGGCCUCAUGCCAUCAGAUGUGCCCAGAUGGGAUUAGCUAGUAGGUGGGGUAACGGCUCACCUAGGCGACGAUCCCUAGCUGGUCUGAGAGGAUGACCAGCCACACUGGAACUGAGACACGGUCCAGACUCCUACGGGAGGCAGCAGUGGGGAAUAUUGCACAAUGGGCGCAAGCCUGAUGCAGCCAUGCCGCGUGUGUGAAGAAGGCCUUCGGGUUGUAAAGCACUUUCAGCGGGGAGGAAGGCGAUAAGGUUAAUAACCUUGGCGAUUGACGUUACCCGCAGAAGAAGCACCGGCUAACUCCGUGCCAGCAGCCGCGGUAAUACGGAGGGUGCAAGCGUUAAUCGGAAUUACUGGGCGUAAAGCGCACGCAGGCGGUCUGUCAAGUCGGAUGUGAAAUCCCCGGGCUCAACCUGGGAACUGCAUUCGAAACUGGCAGGCUAGAGUCUUGUAGAGGGGGGUAGAAUUCCAGGUGUAGCGGUGAAAUGCGUAGAGAUCUGGAGGAAUACCGGUGGCGAAGGCGGCCCCCUGGACAAAGACUGACGCUCAGGUGCGAAAGCGUGGGGAGCAAACAGGAUUAGAUACCCUGGUAGUCCACGCCGUAAACGAUGUCGAUUUGGAGGUUGUGCCCUUGAGGCGUGGCUUCCGGAGCUAACGCGUUAAAUCGACCGCCUGGGGAGUACGGCCGCAAGGUUAAAACUCAAAUGAAUUGACGGGGGCCCGCACAAGCGGUGGAGCAUGUGGUUUAAUUCGAUGCAACGCGAAGAACCUUACCUGGUCUUGACAUCCACAGAACUUUCCAGAGAUGGAUUGGUGCCUUCGGGAACUGUGAGACAGUGCUGCAUGGCUGUCGUCAGCUCGUGUUGUGAAAUGUU